AGCGGAGAGCGUCUGACACGGAGCGGUCUUCCUCCAGACGCCUGAUGGAGCAUGAGCAGUGGGAGGCCACAUCCAAAUUCAGGUCUCAGGAAAAGAAUCCAACUUCGUCAGCUUUGCUAAUGGCGUUUGGAAUCACCAAGAUCACAAAGGAUAAAAGUGGGUUGGAGCAUAGGCAAGACACAAGUUGGUGGAGACAGAGACAGCCUAUGCUAGAAGUCUCCAGUAAUGGGUCACAGAGACAGCUCAGCUCCUGAGGUGUUGUUGACACAGUGCUUGGCAACCUGUUUUUGAUUCCCGGUUCAGGGGGAUAGCUCACCUGAAGAGAAAGAGACUCCUGGAAGUUUCAUCACCCAGCUAGCCUACCCAAAUCAGCAAGUCCCAGGU